rnacentral:rRNA from 1 species
AGGCAGCAGUGGGGAAUUUUGGACAAUGGGCGCAAGCCUGAUCCAGCAAUGCCGCGUGCAGGAUGAAGGCCUUCGGGUUGUAAACUGCUUUUGUACGGAACGAAACGGCCUUUUUUAAUACAAAGGGCUAAUGACGGUACCGUAAGAAUAAGCACCGGCUAACUACGUGCCAGCAGCCGCGGUAAUACGUAGGGUGCGAGCGUUAAUCGGAAUUACUGGGCGUAAAGCGUGCGCAGGCGGUUAUGUAAGACAGAUGUGAAAUCCCCGGGCUCAACCUGGGACCUGCAUUUGUGACUGCAUAGCUAGAGUACGGUAGAGGGGAUGGAAUUCCGCGUGUAGCAGUGAAAUGCGUAGAUAUGCGGAGGAACACCGAUGGCGAAGGCAAUCCCCUGGACCUGUACUGACGCUCAUGCACGAAAGCGUGGGGAGCAAACAGGAUUAGAUACCCUGGUAG